rnacentral:rRNA from 1 species
GAUGAACGCUAGCUACAGGCUUAACACAUGCAAGUCGAGGGGCAGCGGGAAUCUAGCUUGCUAGAUUUGCCGGCGACCGGCGCACGGGUGAGUAACACGUAUCCAACCUGGCCCAUACUCGGGUAUAGCCUCUCGAAAGGGAGAUUAAUCCCCGAUGUUGUCGUUGUUCCGCAUGGUACAUCGACCAAAGUUUUUCGGUAUGGGAUGGGGAUGCGUUCCAUUAGCUUGUUGGCGGGGUAACGGCCCACCAAGGCGACGAUGGAUAGGGGGUUCUGAGAGGAAGGUCCCCCACACUGGAACUGAGACACGGUCCAGACUCCUACGGGAGGCAGCAGUGAGGAAUAUUGGUCAAUGGGCGUAAGCCUGAACCAGCCAAGUAGCGUGAAGGAAGACUGCCCUACGGGUUGUAAACUUCUUUUAUACGGGAAUAAAGUGAGGCACGUGUGCCUUUUUGUAUGUACCGUAUGAAUAAGCAUCGGCUAAUUCCGUG